rnacentral:rRNA from 1 species
UAUAUUGUAAGCGGCUGAGCGAAAGCGUUAAGUAAUCCACCUGGGGAGUACGUUCGCAAGAAUGAAACUCAAAGGAAUUGACGGGGGCCCGCACAAGCGGAGGAACAUGUGGUUUAAUUCGAUGAUACGCGAGGAACCUUACCCGGGCUUGAAAUGCUUCUGACAGACCAAGAGAUUGGUUCUCCUUCGGGCAGAAGUGUAGGUGCUGCAUGGUUGUCGUCAGCUCGUGCCGUGAGGUGUCGGCUUAAGUGCCAUAACGAGCGCAACCCCUAUCGCUAGUUGCCAUCAGGUCAAGCUGGGCACUCUAUCGAGACUGCCAUCGUAAGAUGUGAGGAGGGUGGGGAUGACGUCAAAUCAGCACGGCCCUUACGUCCGGGGCGACACACGUGUUACAAUGGGAGGUACAAAGGGCAGCUACCGUGUGAGCGGAUGCUAAUCUCUAAAACCUUUCUCAGUUCGGAUCGGAGUCUGCAACUCGACUCCGUGAAGCUGGAUUCGCUAGUAAUCGCGCAUCAGCCAUGGCGCGGUGAAUACGUUCCCGGGCCUUGUACACACCGCCCGUCAAGCCACGGAAGUUGGGGGUACCUGAAGUUCGUAACCGCAAGGAGCGACCUAGGGUAAAACCGAUAACUGGGGCUAAGUCGUAACAAGGUAACCGUA